UUCCUUGGAACAGGACGUCACAGAGGGUGAGAAUCCCGUACGUGGUCGCUAGCCUCCGCCGUGUAAAGCCCCUUCGACGAGUCGAGUUGUUUGGGAAUGCAGCUCUAAAUGGGAGGUAAAUUUCUUCUAAAGCUAAAUACUGGCCAGAGACCGAUAGCGCACAAGUAGAGUGAUCGAAAGAUGAAAAGCACUUUGGAAAGAGAGUCAAAUAGCACGUGAAAUUGUUGAAAGGGAAGCGCUUGCAGCCAGACUUGCCUGUAGUUGCUCAUCCGGGCUUUUGCCCGGUGCACUCUUCUACAGGCAGGCCAGCAUCAGUUUGGGCGGUUGGAUAAAGGUCUCUAUCACGUACCUCUCUUCGGGGAGGCCUUAUAGGGGAGACGUCAUGCAACCAGCCUGGACUGAGGUCCGCGCAUUUGCUAGGAUGCUGGCGUAAUGGCUGUAAGCGGCCCGUCUUGAAACACGGACCAAGGAGUCUAACAUCUAUGCGAGUGUUUGGGUGUCAAGCCCGAGCGCGUAAUGAAAGUGAACGGAGGUGGGAACCCUUU
rnacentral:rRNA from 1 species